UCUCAAAAAGGGAAAAAAAAAGGAUUUCUAUACAUCCACAAUAAUGAAUUAGCUGAAAAAGAAAUCAAGAAAACAAUCCCAUUUAUUAAUAUAAUAGCUACAAAAAACAACCUAGAAAUAAAAAAAGAAAUAAAGAUGGAGAAGAUGAAGCUUCAGCCACAGCCCAUUGGAGCUGCCCACUUCCAACUCUUCCAUUCUAUUUUAACU
rnacentral:lncRNA from 1 species